ACGAGUGUGGUGAAACGGUAUCAUCGCGGUCUCCAAAACCGUUGUUCUUGGUUCAAAUCCAAGCAUUCGUG
rnacentral:tRNA from 1 species